UACGGAGGGUGCAAGCGUUACUCGGAAUUACUGGGCGUAAAGCGUGCGUAGGUGGUUUGUUAAGUCCGUUGUGAAAGCCCCGAGCUCAACUUGGGAAUUGCAGUUGAUACUGGCAAGCUGGAGUGCGGUAGAGGAAGGUGGAAUUCCCGGUGUAGCGGUGAAAUGCGUAGAGAUCGGGAGGAACACCAGUGGCGAAGGCGGCCUUCUGGACCAACACUGACACUCAAGCACGAAAGCGUGGGGAGCAAACAGG
rnacentral:rRNA from 1 species